GAGCAACAGUCAGGGCUGCGUGCUGUACCAAAGCUGACGAGGGUACAUAUAUACCCAAACGCUUUUCAGAAAAUGAGCGUCAAACUUGCUGUUCAACUCUUCAGUGAAUCCACAGCUACAGCCAUGAUAUUUUACAGUGAGCAGGAAUCAUGCAAAAAGCUUCACGGGUCUGCGGGAACAUCUGAAUUCACCAGACAAAUGAACAGAUUGUUUGACUGCUUGAACUCCCGCAGGCCUGAACACGUGCAGUACAGUGAAGCUGAGCAUGUUGACACACUGAAAGAGGGAAUCUCAUGGUUGGACAGGUGCUGCAAAUACAUCGAAAGUCUGCCAAAGCAAAGGCAGGUCUGCUUUUUAAGCAAGCCCACCUGUGAGGCGCUGAGAAUAAC